rnacentral:rRNA from 1 species
UACAGAGGGUGCGAGCGUUAAUCGGAAUUACUGGGCGUAAAGCGUGCGUAGACGGCUAUCUAAGUCGGGUGUGAAAGCCCCGGGCUCAACCUGGGAAUUGCAUUCGAGACUGAAUAGCUAGGGUACGGUAGAGGGAAGCGGAAUUUCCGGUGUAGCGGUGAAAUGCGUAGAUAUCGGAAGGAACAUCAGUGGCGAAAGCGGGCUUCCUGGACCGACACUGACGCUGAGGAGCGAAAGCCAGGGGAGCAAACGGG